rnacentral:lncRNA from 1 species
UCCAGCCCCAGCAGUCCUGCUCCUGUGUAUGCCUUCCUCACUUUUCCUGCCUCCUCUCCAAACCUUUGUAUUGAUGUUUAAUGUGAUAAAUAAGCUUUGCCUGUUCCAGAAUUUAUGUCAAGGGAAUCAUACAAUGUGUAUUUUCAUGUGUGUCUUCUUUUACUCCUAUAUGAUAUUUGUGCAAUAAUGCAGUUAGCUGUUGUUUGUUGCUUUUCAUUGCUGCAUGAUGUGCAUAGAACAUUUACAAUCUGUUCAGUCCUGUGUCUCUGGAUGGGGAAGUGAGUCUCGUGCCCUCAGGAACAAAGAGGAACCUGGAUGGGCACGUGUAGUCAUGCGGUUCCUUUGCUGAUCCCUCUCACCGCACCUACCCUGAUGUCUUUUGGUUUGGGAGGAGAAGCACUUCCUCUAGCUCCUAACUGGUAGCAGGCCUCCUGGUAGGUCAUCCUUGCCAGUGGUACCAGGCUUGCCUAAUGUUGCUGGCAGGACUCCCUUUCAAUACAGAGUGGGAAUGGGCUUAGCUGACCCACCUCCUGUUACCAGAUUUGGUUCUGAGAAACAGAGGACUAGAUCACUUUCUUCUGCUGAGUGGGGGACUGAAGAUGCCCGGACACUCUGUUGAUCCCUGAUUCUGGGGUCCCAAACUAUUUUGCCUUCCUCUUUCCACCUUUCAGAGUUUUCCUGUGUGUCUUUCAUUACUUGCAGAGUUUAGAGUUGUAUUUAUUAGGGAGUAGCAGAGAAAAAGGAGUCCAUGUACCUGGUCAAGACCAUUGUUAUUCCACCAAAACCAAAUCAGAUAAAAGUGAGGGCUUAUCUAGUUAGAGAGUGGUGUGGUGCCCAGAAAAGCCAAUUUUUGGCUGCUGUGUCAUUUAUUUCCUCAAUGGCAACCUUUCAAUUUCCUUCUAAACUUCAAGGAGGAAAAGUUCCACUAUGAGACACAUAGUGGAAAAAUACAUUUAUUUAAUCAGAAUAUCUGGAGAAAUACAUGCACAGUAUCAGGAAAUUUA